rnacentral:lncRNA from 1 species
ACAUCUGAAAUCGUCCUCCCAAGUUCUGUGCCACAUGAACCUUUGUGGUAGGAGUCUGUGACACCGAUGUCUUUUGACAUCUUGUUCUAUCUAUCCGUGAAUGAUGGGGUACAGGCCACAACCCUAUUGUAAGGACAAAUUAUAACCUGCACCAUAUGCACUUAUGGCCGCGCACCACGCUAAUCACCAAAAUGCAUUUCAGGACCA